AAACCAAAGUUUUCAUGUUUGCUUCACAAAAACUGAAACUCUUUAAAAUCCUUUCACUUUAGGAUUCUAACAGGAAACUCCACGUUUAGACUUUUACUUUGUAAAGAAGGUUGGAUCUGUGUCUGAUCCGUGUGGAUCAUGGAGGAAUGCCUCAGAAGGUCGGAGGUUCUGCUGCCGGGUCAGAACCACCAGGACUCUAACAUGUGAGAAGGCAGGGCGGGAUUUGAGCCUGAAACCGGUCAGCCUCUGCACCACAGCCCGUGUUUUCAUUUCCACUGCAGCACAGGCUGGCUCUAGGACAGCCUCCAUGUUCCUGUCCAGAGUCUGAUUGUGGGCGGGGCCAUAGAGGAAUCAUGGCUCAGUGGCUCUGCUAUCGAACCAACAACUCUAAAGGAGUUCUGAUGGUCUGACCCAAACCCUAAGAGCUGUCAUGGAGCCUCAGAGGAACUAGAUCCACUCCCAGAAUCUCCAGAACCAAAGACCCGCGGCUCCACUGAGGAUCUGCUGGAUCAAAGCCGGACUGAGCCGAACCACUUCAGGCCGGCCCAUCCCGGAGUGGGCGGAGCCAGACAGCCCAUGGAUCUGAAGCAGUUCUUCAGCAGAGAAGCAGCGCUGGACGGGAAAGAAGAACAUGAGAGAAGAUCCAGUCGCCUGUCCUGUCCGGUUCUGGAGGUUCUUACCUGCUCCCAGGUGCUGUUAUCUUCAUGCCGUCCAGUGCUCCUCUUGCUCCGCCCCCUCUGCUCCUCAUGAUGAUGAUGGUGAUCGUUAGUCCUCAAUGCAUGCUCGUGGUCUUCUCCUGGUCCGAUGUUCAGCAUCAUCAUGACAGCCUCCAAACCUGCAGAACGGCAGCAGAACCGCUCUGUCAUUAAAGCCAGCAGGAGGCCCGUAGAGGUCCGGUUCGGUCCAUCUUUACCUUCAACAGUCAGAUUCUCUGAGCCGACCCGGUCCAUGAUGGAGUCCAGGAAGAAGCUCUCCUCCGGCAGAAAGUGAGCGCUGAAGCAGCGUCCCUGCAGAGCGUGGACCAGCACGCGGCCCAGGACCACGCCCACUUCCUGCUGCUGCUCCGGCGCUACGGCGGCGUCCGGCAUGAAGCUGGCGGCUGACGCGCAGUUCUGGUGACCAUGGAGAGACAGAAACGGGAGCUGAUGAGAAACCAGUGAACAGAAUCAAACGGGAACUGAAGCUGAAGCUGAAACUUCAGCUGCAGCUUCAGCUUCUGAUGGAGACCGAAAGGACUAGAGCUCCAGAACCUGAUACUCCGUCUACACUUCUAGAGAAACAUGUUCUCUCAUCUUUGAGAUUCUUCAGAAUAAAAGGCUCAGAAUGAUCAGUUAGAUUUUCAGAAUAAAACGCUGAACAUUUUCAGGCGGA